CACGAAAAUAGUUGAGCUAAAUAAUUAUAAUUAUUAGAUUAUUGUAUGUGGCAUAAUAUAAAUAAAUAAUUGUUUAGGGGUGAUAGGCUUUUCAAAGCUAUAGAUAUCUUGAUUCUUUAAAAAAACAUUGAGUGUAAUUUCAAUUAAGAAGUGAUAAGGUUUCUUAAUAACAUAAAUAUAUUAUUAUUUUAAAAUCUUGAUUUAAUUGUUAGAUUUUUUUUUUAAUAUCAUUAAUAUAUAACUAAUUAUGCUUUAUAUAAAGAAAUGUUACAACUAUUGUAAUAAUUUAAAAUGUUACUAUAAGUAAUUAAAAUAAAAGUAAAAAAUGAACUUGGCAAAUAGUCUUUCAACUGUUUACCAAAAACAUAGCUAUGUGUGAUUAUUCUUAGUGAUUUCUGCUCAAUGAAAUUUAAAUAGCCGCAGUACCCUGACUGUGCAAAGGUAGCGUAAUAAUUUGGCUUAUAAUUGAAGUCCUGUAUGAAUGAAAAUCUUGGAGGGCACCUUUAUUCUUUAUAAAUAUUGAAAUUACUAAUUAAGUGCAAAUUCUUAUAUCUAAAUGAUAGACGAGAAGACCCUAGAAAUUUAUAAAAAAUUGCUUUUCUUCUUUUUUGUUGGGGCAACAAGGUAACAUAAAAAUUUACCGUUAAAAACAAGAACAUUUUAUGUGAUAGAAUAAAUUACUCUAGGGAUAACAGCGUAAUUUUUAAAAGUUUGCGACCUCGAUGUUGGACUAGGAAACUAUUGUUUAGAA
rnacentral:rRNA from 1 species